CCUACGGGAGGCAGCAGUGAGGAAUAUUGGUCAAUGGGCGCUAGCCUGAACCAGCCAAGUAGCGUGAAGGAUGACUGCCCUAUGGGUUGUAACCUUCUUUUAUAUGGGAAUAAAGUGCAGUAUGUAUACUGCUUUCCAUGUACCUUAUGAAUUAGGAUCGGCUAACUCCGUGCCAGCAGCCGCGGUAAUACGGAGGAUCCGAGCGUUAUCCGGAUUUAUUGGGUUUAAAGGGAACGUAGGCGGGUUGUUAAGUCAGUUGUGAAAGUAUGCGGCUCAACCGUAAAAUUGCAGUUGAUACUGGCAUCCAUGAGUACAGUAGAGGUAGGCGGAAUUCGUGGUGUAGCGGUGAGAUGCUUAGAUAUCACGAAGAACUCCGAUUGCGAAGGCAGCCUGCUGGACUGUAACUGACGCUGAUGCUCGAAAGUGUGGGUAUCAAACAGGAUUAGAUACCCGAGUAGUC
rnacentral:rRNA from 1 species